rnacentral:rRNA from 1 species
AUUGAACGCUGGCGGCAUGCCUUACACAUGCAAGUCGAACGGCAGCGGACCUUCGGGUGCCGGCGAGUGGCGAACGGGUGAGUAAUGUAUCGGAACGUACCUUUCAGUGGGGGAUAACGUAGCGAAAGUUACGCUAUUACCGCAUAUUCUGUGAGCAGGAAAGCAGGGGAUCGCAAGACCUUUCGCUGAUUGAGAGGCCGAUAUCAGAUUAGCUAGUUGGUGAGGUAAAGGCUCACCAAGGCGACGAUCUGUAGCGGGUCUGAGAGGAUGAUCCGCCACACUGGAACUGAGACACGGUCCAGACUCCUACGGGAGGCAGCAGUGGGGAAUUUUGGACAAUGGGGGCAACCCUGAUCCAGCCAUGCCGCGUGAGUGAAGAAGGCCUUCGGGUUGUAAAGCUCUUUCGUCCGGGAAGAAAUCGCAUCAGCUAAUACCUGGUGUGGAUGACGGUACCGGAAUAAGAAGCACCGGCUAACUACGUGCCAGCAGCCGCCGUAAAAC